UGAUUCAUAGUCUAAUGGUUUAGGACCCCUGCCGUUUAGGAUCGAGGUCCCAGGUUCAAUUCUUGGUGCUACAC